rnacentral:rRNA from 1 species
AGAUUGAACGCUGGCGGCAUGCCUUACACAUGCAAGUCGAACGGCAGCACGGGGGCAACCCUGGUGGCGAGUGGCGAACGGGUGAGUAAUAUAUCGGAACGUGCCCUGGAGUGGGGGAUAGCUCGGCGAAAGCCGGAUUAAUACCGCAUACGAUCUAUGGAUGAAAGUGGGGGAUCGCAAGACCUCAUGCUCCUGGAGCGGCCGAUAUCUGAUUUAGCUAGUUGGUAGGGUAAAAGCCUACCAAGGCGACGAUCAGUAGCUGGUCUGAGAGGACGACCAGCCACACUGGAACUGAGACACGGUCCAGACUCCUACGGGAGGCAGCAGUGGGGAAUUUUGGACAAUGGGGGCAACCCUGAUCCAGCAAUGCCGCGUGUGUGAAGAAGGCCUUGGUGUAAGCACUUUGGCGGAACGGAAACGGUUACGGACUAACUACCCUACGACUAAUAGACGGUACCCGCAGAAUAAGACACCGGACUAACGUACGUACGUCC